rnacentral:piRNA from 1 species
UUCAGAAUCUGCUGACUUGUU